CAAGAGAAUGAAAGCAGGCCAGAAACAGGAGAAACCCAGGGUCUAAGUGCUGGGCCACUGAGAGAUGGACACCUAGUGCUCAGUUCCAGAAGGAGGGGCUCCUACUCAGGUGUGAAUCCAGAUACAACAGGAGAAUUGAAAAAAUAAGUUAUGAUAUGAAGCAAAAUAGGAACCAGAGUCUCACUGUUGAAGAAAAGAGAUGCAAAUGUGGAAAAGGAGUGAAAUAUAAAGAAAACUUUGUGGUACUGAAUUGGAAUUGGAGGUAUUGAUGUGAUUCCAGUUAGAUAUAUAGGUUCCUCAUUAGCUUCAUUGGCCUGCGACCUGUUGUGGCAGAAGGCCCCACACUUAGAAGGGCUCUGUGUUUGGUUUGAUGCUCUGCCAUCCCUCUCUUGAAACUCUUCAUAUGAUUUAAAUGCUCAACUCUUCUCCUGUUCCAGUUAAAUUAUCAUCAUAUCCCUAUAUAGGCCAGUCCUGAAUUCAAGUCAACACAAUUAGCAUUGAUCUAACACAUACCUAAUGUCAUGUCCAGGAGACACAACACAAAAAAAGACACUGUUUCUGUCCAUGUAGCACUGGGCCCUACAAAGUAUAUAGCCGGUUCUGCUCACCUCUGAGUAUAUUAAUGGUACCUAUUAUGACCAGAGUGUUAUUGGGAAGAUUAAAUGAGCAAAUACAAGUAGAAAAGAGUGUCUGUGGCACAAAAACAGACACUCAGAUCAAUGGAACAGAAUAGAGAACCCAGAAAUGGACCCUCAAACAUAUGGCCAACUUAUCUAUGACAAAGCAGGAAAAAAUAUCCAAUGGAAUAAAGAC